rnacentral:rRNA from 1 species
CCUACGGGUGGCAGCAGUGAGGAAUAUUGGUCAAUGGGCGCGAGCCUGAACCAGCCAAGUAGCGUGAAGGAUGACUGCCCUACGGGUUGUAAACUUCUUUUAUAAAGGAAUAAAGUGAGGCACGUGUGCCUUUUUGCAUGUACUUCAUGAAUAAGGACCGGCUAAUUCCGUGCCAGCAGCCGCGGUAAUACGGAGGAUCCGAGCGUUAUCCGGAUUUAUUGGGUUUAAAGGGAGCGUAGAUGGGUCGUUAAGUCAGUUGUGAAAGGUUGCGGCUCAACCGUAAAAUUGCAAUGGGUACUGGCAGUCUUGAGUGCAGUUGAGGUAGGCGGAAUUCGUGGUGUAGCGGUGAAAUGCUUAGAUAUCACGAAGAACUCCGAUUGCGAAGGCAGCUUACUAAACUGCCACUGACGUUGAUGCUCGAAGGUGUGGGUAUCGAACAGGAUUAGAUACCCGUGUAGUC